rnacentral:rRNA from 1 species
UGGGGAAUAUUGGACAAUGGGCGAAAGCCUGAUCCAGCCAUGCCGCGUGUGUGAAGAAGGCCUUUUGGUUGUAAAGCACUUUAAGUGGGGAGGAAAAGCUUGUGGUUAAUACCCAUAAGCCCUGACGUUACCCACAGAAUAAGCACCGGCUAACUCUGUGCCAGCAGCCGCGGUAAUACAGAGGGUGCAAGCGUUAAUCGGAAUUACUGGGCGUAAAGCGCGCGUAGGUGGCUAUUUAAGUCAGAUGUGAAAGCCCCGGGCUUAACCUGGGAACUGCAUCUGAUACUGGAUAACUAGAGUAGGUGAGAGGGGAGUAGAAUUCCAGGUGUAGCGGUGAAAUGCGUAGAGAUCUGGAGGAAUACCGAUGGCGAAGGCAGCUCCCUGGCAUCAUACUGACACUGAGGUGCGAAAGCGUGGGUAGCAAACAGGAUUAGAUACCCUGGUAGUCCACGCCGUAAACGAUGUCUACCAGUCGUUGGGUCUUUUAAAGACUUAGUGACGCAGUUAACGCAAUAAGUAGACCGCCUGGGGAGUACGGCCGCAAGGUUA